UCCGUGUUGACCACGGCAGUCUCCUACGAGUCCCCGGCAUUAUCCGCUGGCAACAUAGGACAAGGGUUGCGCUCGUUGCGGGACUUAACCCAACAUCUCACGACACGAGCUGACGACAGCCAUGCACCACCUAUCGUAGACCCUUUCGGACACCGCAUCUCUGCGGUUUUUCCUACAUAGUUCAGCCCAGGUAAGGUUCUUCGCGUUGCAUCGAAUUAAGCAACAUGCUCCGCCGCUUGUGCGGGUCCCCGUCAAUUCCUUUGAGUUUUAGCCUUGCGGCCGUACUCCCCAGGCGGGGCACUUAAUGCGUUAGCUACGGCACGGAGGGCGUUGAUAACCCCCCACACCUAGUGCCCAACGUUUAGGGCGUGGACUAC
rnacentral:misc_RNA from 1 species